rnacentral:misc_RNA from 1 species
GCUUGACUGACUCUGCAUUUUCUUUCACGAAUUCCUUCGAUUCUUCAGCUUUUCCUGAAACUUUGUCCUUAAUCUUCUGUGUGGUGUCUUUAACUGUGCCCCAAGCAUCUUGCAUCGUUUGCUUUGCUUUCUCUGUCACAUCUUGUGCCCCCUUGGAUGCCUCUCCCACUGUUUCUUUCGUUUCCUGGCUCACUUCUUCAGCCGCAGAAGUAGCGUCGUUUUUCACAUCUUGGCCAGCUUUCUUUGCCGCGUUAAUUGCUUGUUUUGCUGCCUGAGAAGCGG